rnacentral:rRNA from 1 species
CCGGCGGGGGAUGGGCAUGCGGCGCAUUAGCUAGUCGGCGGGGUAACGGCCCACCGAGGCGACGAUGCGUAGGGGUUCUGAGAGGAAGGUCCCCCACACUGGUACUGAGACACGGACCAGACUCCUACGGGAGGCAGCAGUGAGGAAUAUUGGUCAAUGGGCGGGAGCCUGAACCAGCCAAGUCGCGUGAGGGAAGACGGUCCUAUGGAUUGUAAACCUCUUUUGCCGGGGAGCAACGGGGUCCUUGCGAGGGCCUAAUGAGAGUACCCGGAGAAAAAGCAUCGGCUAACUCCGUGCCAGCAGCCGCGGUAAUACGGAGGAUGCGAGCGUUAUCCGGAUUUAUUGGGUUUAAAGGGUGCGUAGGCGGGCUGUUAAGUCAGCGGUCAAAUGUCGGGGCUCAACCCCGGCCUGCCGUUGAAACUGGCGGCCUCGAGUGGGCGAGAAGUAUGCGGAAUGCGUGGUGUAGCGGUGAAAUGCAUAGAUAUCACGCAGAACUCCGAUUGCGAAGGCAGCAUACCGGCGCCCUACUGACGCUGAGGCACGAAAGCGUGGGUAUCGAACAGGAUUAGAUACCCUGGUAGUCCACGCAGUAAACGAUGAAUGCUAGCUGUCCGGUUCUACGGGACUGGGUGGC